ACACUGCCGUCUACUCUUGGCCAGCCUUCUGAAAGGAAGAUUAAUCCAGGAUGGCAUCAUGAGUUCACAUGUCCGCAUGAUUAAAGGUAUUUUCCGGUAGACGAUGGGGAUGCGUUCCAUUAGAUAGUAGGCGGGGUAACGGCCCACCUAGUCAACGAUGGAUAGGGGUUCUGAGAGGAAGGUCCCCCACAUUGGAACUGAGACACGGUCCAA
rnacentral:rRNA from 1 species